UAGGGAAUCUUCCACAAUGGACGCAAGUCUGAUGGAGUAACGCCGCGUGAGUGAAGAAGGCUUUCGGGUCGUAAAACUCUGUUAUUGAAGAAGAACGUGUGUGACAGUAACUGGUCAUGCAGUGACGGUAUUCAAUCAGAAAGUCACGGCUAACUACGUGCCAGCAGCCGCGGUAAUACGUAGGUGGCAAGCGUUGUCCGGAUUUAUUGGGCGUAAAGCGAGUGCAGGCGGUCUUUUAAGUCUGAUGUGAAAGCCUUCGGCUUAACUGAAGAAGGGCAUCGGAAACUGGGAGACUUGAGUGCAGAAGAGGAGAGUGGAACUCCAUGUGUAGCGGUGAAAUGCGUAGAUAUAUGGAAGAACACCAGUGGCGAAGGCGGCUCUCUGGUCUGUAACUGACGCUGAGGCUCGAAAGCGUGGGUAGCAUCAAAGAUGGAGUA
rnacentral:rRNA from 1 species